UAGGGAAUCUUCCACAAUGGACGCAAGUCUGAUGGAGCAACGCCGCGUGAGUGAAGAAGGUCUUCGGAUCGUAAAGCUCUGUUGUUGGUGAAGAAGGAUAGAGGCAGUAACUGGUCUUUAUUUGACGGUAAUCAACCAGAAAGUCACGGCUAACUACGUGCCAGCAGCCGCGGUAAUACGUAGGUGGCAAGCGUUGUCCGGAUUUAUUGGGCGUAAAGCGAGCGCAGGCGGAAUGAUAAGUCUGAUGUGAAAGCCCACGGCUCAACCGUGGAACUGCAUCGGAAACUGUCAUUCUUGAGUGCAGAAGAGGAGAGUGGAACUCCAUGUGUAGCGGUGGAAUGCGUAGAUAUAUGGAAGAACACCAGUGGCGAAGGCGGCUCUCUGGUCUGCAACUGACGCUGAGGCUCGAAAGCAUGGGUAGCGAACAGGAUUAGAUACCCUGGUAGUCCAUGCCGUAAACGAUGAGCGCUAGGUGUCGGGGACUUUGCCGGUCCUCAGUGCCGCAGCAAACGCAU
rnacentral:rRNA from 1 species